GCAUAUCAAUAAGCGGAGGAAAAGAAACCAACAGGGAUUGCCUUAGUAACGGCGAGUGAAGCGGCAAGAGCUCAAAUUUGAAAUCUGGCGUCUUACGGCGUCCGAAUUGUAAUUUGUAGAGGUAACUUUGGAGGCGGUCCUUGCAUAUGUUCCUUGGAACAGGACGUCAUAGAGGGUGAGAAUCCCGUACGUGGUGGGGUGCCCGUCUCCUUGUAAAGUGCCUUCGACGAGUCGAGUUGUUUGGGAAUGCAACUCUAAGUGGGUGGUAAAUUCCAUCUAAAGCUAAAUAUCAGCGAGAGACCGAUAGCGAACAAGUACAGUGAUGGAAAGAUGAAAAGAACUUUGAAAAGAGAGUGAAAAAGUACGUGAAAUUGUUGAAAGGGAAGCCUUUGAGAUCAGACAUGGCUUUCGGUGAUCAGCUAUCCUUCUGGGUGGUGCACUCGCCGUUGGCUGGGCCAACAUCGGUUCGGAUGGUGGGAUAAAAGCAUUGGAAUGUAGCUUCUUUUGGAGUGUUAUAACCUUUGUUCAUACCGCCUGUCUGGACCGAGGACCGCGCUUCGGCUAGGAUGUUGGCGUAAUGAUCUUAAAGGGCCCGUCUUGAAACACGGACCAAGGAGUCUAACGUCUAUGCGAGUGUUUGGGUGUAAAACCCGUACGCGUAAUGAAAGUGAACGUAGGUGAGAACCCGCAAGGGCGCAUCAUCGACCGAUCCUGAUGUUCUCGGAUGGAUUUGAGUAAGAGCAUAGCUGUUGGGACCCGAAAGAUGGUGAACUAUGCCUGAAUAGGGUGAAGCCAGAGGAAACUCUGGUGGAGGCUCGUAGCGGUUCUGACGUGCAAAUCGAUCGUCAAAUUUGGGUAUAGGGGCGAAAGACUAAUCGAACCAUCUAGUAGCUGGUUCCUGCCGA
rnacentral:rRNA from 1 species